rnacentral:rRNA from 1 species
GUUUCCUACGGGGCGCAGCAGUAGGGAAUUUUCGUCAAUGGGCGCAAGCCUGAACGAGCAAUGCCGCGUGAACGAGGAAGGUCUUCGGAUCGUAAAGUUCUGUUGAAGGGGAAAAAGAGCGGAGAGAGGAAAUGAACUCCGAUUGAUAUUACCCUUCGGGGAAGUCACGGCUAACUACGUGCCAGCAGCCGCGGUAAUACGUAGGUGGCGAGCGUUAUCCGGAAUGAUUGGGCGUAAAGGGUGCGUAGGCGACCUGCUAAGUCUGGAGUGAAAGGUACCGGCUCAACCGGUACAG